rnacentral:lncRNA from 1 species
CCAUCACCACCCCAUCACCCUGUAUAUAAGUCUCCACCACCACCUAAGAAGCCCUACCACCCUUCACCAACCCCAUAUCAUCCUGUACCCGUUUAUAAAUCUCCACCCCCACCAACUCCAGUUUACAAGUCGCCACCACCACCCAAGAAGCCACAAUAUCCUCCACACAUCCCGGUUUAUAAGUCGCCACCACCACCAACUCCCGUUUACAAGUCACCACCACCACCCAAGAAGCCACACUACCCUCCACACAUCCCUGUUUAUAAGUCACCACCACCGCCCAAGAAGCCAUACUAUCCUCCACAUACUCCAGUUUACAAGUCGCCACCACCACCAACUCCGGUUUACAAGUCACCACCGCCACCCAAGAAACCAUACUAUCCUCCACACAUCCCUGUUUACAAAUCUCCACCACCACCUACUCCAGUUUACAAGUCGCCACCACCACCCAAGAAGCCAUACUACCCUCCACACACCCCGGUUUAUAAGUCUCCACCACCACCAACUCCUGUUUACAAGUCACCACCACCACCCAAGAAGCCAUACUAUCCUCCACACACACCAGUUUACAAGUCGCCACCACCACCUACUCCCGUUUACAAGUCACCACCACCACCAACACCCGUUUACAAGUCACCACCACCACCUAAGAAGCCACACCAUCCUUCACCAACCCCAUAUCAUCCUGCACCAGUUUACAAGUCCCCACCACCACCUAAGAAGCCAGACCACCCUUCACCAACACCGUAUCAUCCUGCACCAGUUUACAAAUCCCCACCGCCACCUACUCCAGUUUACAAGUCACCACCACCUUCAGUGAAGCCAUACCAUCCUUCACCAACACCAUAUCAUCCUGCACCAGUUUAUAAGCCUCCACCACCACCAACUCCUGUCUACAAGUCACCUCCACCACCAACUCCAGUCUACAAGUCUCUACCACCGCACCACCCCUAUCUUUACACUUCUCCUCCUCCUCCCUAC